rnacentral:rRNA from 1 species
UACGUAGGGUGCAAGCGUUGUCCGGAAUUAUUGGGCGUAAAGAGCUCGUAGGCGGUUGUCGCGUCUGCUGUGAAAACUCGGGGCUAACCCGGGCCUGCAGUGGGUACGGGCAGACUAGAGUGCGGUAGGGGAGACUGGAAUCCUGGUGUAGCGGUGAAAUGCGCAGAUAUCAGGAGGAACACCGGUGGCGAAGGCGGGUCUCUGGGCCGUAACUGACGCUGAGGAGCGAAAGCGUGGGGAGCGAACAGG